rnacentral:rRNA from 1 species
AUCCACAGCCAUAUCACUCUGCAGCCCAAGACUGGUUACUCAUUGAAGCUAAGCAGGGCUGAGCCUGGUUAGUACCUGGACCACAUGGGUAAACUAGGUUGCUGUGGUGU